rnacentral:rRNA from 1 species
GACCUCAAAUCAGGUAGGACUACCCGCUGAACUUAAGCAUAUCAAUAAGCGGAGGAAAAGAAACUAACAAGGAUUCCCCUAGUAACUGCGAGUGAAGCGGGAAAAGCUCAAAUUUAAAAUCUGGCAGCCUUCGGUUGUCCGAGUUGUAAUCUAGAGAAGUGUUAUCCGCGCUGGACCGUGUACAAGUCUCCUGGAAUGGAGCGUCAUAGAGGGUGAGAAUCCCGUCUUUGACACGGACUGCCAGGGCUUUGUGAUGCGCUCUCAAAGAGUCGAGUUGUUUGGGAAUGCAGCUCAAAAUGGGUGGUAAAUUCCAUCUAAAGCUAAAUAUUGGCGAGAGACCGAUAGCGAACAAGUACCGUGAGGGAAAGAUGAAAAGAACUUUGGAAAGAGAGUUAAACAGUACGUGAAAUUGCUGAAAGGGAAACGCUUGAAGUCAGUCGCGUUGUUUGGGAAUCAACCUUGCUUUUGCUGGGCGUACUUUCCAGAUGACGGGCAAGCAUCAAUUUUGACCGUUGGAUAAAGGCUGGAGGAAUGUGGCAUCUUCGGAUGUGUUAUAGCCUCUGGUUGUAUACAACGGUUGGGAUUGAGGAACUCAGCACGCCGCAAGGCCGGGUACUUGUACCACGUUCGUGCUUAGGAUGCUGGCAUAAUGGCUUUAAUCGACCCGUCUUGAAACACGGACCAAGGAGUCUAACAUGCCUGCGAGUAUUUGGGUGGAAAACCCGAGUGCGUAAUGAAAGUGAAAGUUGAGAUCCCUGUCGCGGGGAGCAUCGACGCCCGGACCAGACCUUUUGUGACGGAUCUGCGGUAAAGCAUGUAUGUUGGGACCCGAAAGAUGGUGAACUAUGCCUGAAUAGGGUGAAGCCAGAGGAAACUCUGGUGGAGGCUCGUAGCGAUUCUGACGUGCAAAUCGAUCGUCAAAUUUGGGUAUAGGGGCGAAAGACUAAUCGAACCAUCUAGUAGCUGGUUCCU